UAUAAGAGGACGAUAUCUGGCUCCAGGUCAGGUCUUCUCCACUCUACAAUGCUGAUGGAGGGAUCAGCAGCCUGACAUGGCAGAAUGACAUCCUGUCCAGUGCGCACUUUCACAAUCUCAUCAGAAUCUGCUGCAGACAGAAGGAACAACAGGAACAUUAAUAUAGCCAUGCGAGAGUGUUGAUCUGCUGUGUUAUUUCUCU